ensembl:lncRNA
ACCAGGUAUAACAGUGGUAAGGUGUUGGGACUCUGCUGAUAACCAGGUCUAACAGUGGAAAGGUGUUGGGACUCUGCUGUUGGGACUCUGCUGCUGGGACUCUGCUGAUAACCAGGUAUAACAGUGGUAAGGUGUUGGGACUCUGUUGAUAACCAGGUAUAACAGUGGUAAGGUGUUGGGACUCUGCUGAUAACCAGGUAUAACAGUGGUAAGGUGUUGGGACUCUGCUGUUGGGACUCUGCUGAUAACCAGGUAUAACAGUGGUAAGGUGUUGGGACUCUGCUGAUAACCAGGUAUAACAGUGGUAAGGUGUUGGGACUCUGCUGAUAACCAGGUAUAACAGUGGUAAGGUGUUGGGACUCUGCUGAUAACCAGGUGUAACAGUGGUAAGGUGUUGGGACUCUGCUGAUAACCAGGUGUAACAGUGGUAAGGUGUUGGGACUCUGCUGAUAACCAGGUAUAACAGUGGUAAGUUGUUGGGACUCUGCUGUUGGGACUCUGUUGAUAACCAGGUAUAACAGUGGAAAGGUGUUGGGACUCUGCUGUUGGGACUCUGUU